rnacentral:rRNA from 1 species
UACGUAGGUCCCGAGUGUUGUCCGGAUUUAUUGGGCGUAAAGCGAGCGCAGGUGGUUUAAUAAGUCUGAUGUAAAAGGCAGUGGCUCAACCAUUGUGUGCAUUGGAAACUGUUAGACUUGAGUGCAGUAGAGGAGAGUGGAAUUCCAUGUGUAGCGGUGAAAUGCGUAGAUAUAUGGAGGAACACCGGUGGCGAAAGCGGCUCUCUGGACUGUAACUGACACUGAGGCUCGAAAGCGUGGGUAGCAAACAGG